GCCCGCCUAGCUCAAUCGGAUAGAGCGUCAGACUCUUAUCUUGCUACUUACGGGCAUCUGAAGGCUGCGAGUUCGACCCUCGCGGUGGGCU